rnacentral:rRNA from 1 species
AAAGGAAUUGACGGGGGCCCGCACAAGCGGAGGAGCAUGUGGCUUAAUUCGAUGCAACGCGAAGAACCUUACCUAGGCUUGACAUGUGACUGCACGCCCGGUGAAAGCCGGGUUCCUUCGAGGGUGUCACACAGGUGCUGCAUGGCUGUCGUCAGUUCGUGCCGUGAGGUGUUUGGUUAAGUCCACCAACGAACGCAACCCCUGCGUCCAGUUGCCAUCGGGUCAUGCCGGGAACUCUGGACGGACCGCCCCUUCAAACGGGAGGAAGGUGGGGAUGACGUCAAGUCAGUAUGGCCCUUACGCCUAGGGCUGCACACGUGCUACAAUGGCCGGUACAGAGGGACGCAAGACCGCGAGGUGGAGCAAACCCCCAAAACCGGCCCCAGUUCAGAUUGGAGUCUGCAACCCGACUCCAUGAAGUUGGAUUCGCUAGUAACGGCGCAUCAGCAUUCGGCGCCGUGAAUACGUUCCCGGGCCUUGUACACACCGCCCGU